rnacentral:rRNA from 1 species
CUCAGGACGAACGCUGGCGGCGUGCUUAACACAUGCAAGUCGAACGGGGAUAUACUGGAGGAGAGCUUCGGCAGGAAUCGGGUAUAUUCGAGUGGCGGACGGGUGAGUAACGCGUGAGCAACCUGUCCCAGACAGGGGGAUAACACUUGGAAACAGGUGCUAAUACCGCAUAAGACCACGGGAUCACAUGGUUCUGGGGUAAAAGGAGCAAUCCGGUUUGGGGUGGGCUCGCGUCCGAUUAGAUAGUUGGUGAGGUAACAGCCCACCAGUCGACGAUCGGUAGCCGACCUGAGAGGGUGAUCGGCCACAUUGGAACUGAGAGACGGUCCAAACUCCUACGGGAGGCAGCAGUGGGGAAUAUUGGGCAAUGGGCGAAAGCCUGACCCAGCAACGCCGCGUGAGUGAAGAAGGCCUUCGGGUUGUAAAGCUCUGUUAUAGUUGACGAAGGAAGUGACGGUAGGCUAUAAGGAAGCCCCGGCUAACUACGUGCCAGCCGCGGC